UAACUGUCGUACAUUAACCGCUGAAACUCCUUCAAUUACCUUAGAUUCUCCGGGAUAUGGAAUAGGAGGCGAGUCUUGCUUUGGAGGAUUUUGGCCGUGUAUGGAAGACAUUCUCUUUGGUUGCGUUAGAUAUUGCAAUAGAUAUAAAUACAAAUUUGGCCGAUGUACUGACAUCGAAGGAUGUUGUUGUUAUUGAAAAAAUAUUUUUCAAUAAAAUAUAUAAUAAAACGUGUAGUUUGAAAUAUAACA